rnacentral:rRNA from 1 species
ACGAACGCUGGCGGCGUGCCUCAUACAUGCAAGUUGAGCGAUGAAGAUUGGUGCUUGCACCAAUUUGAAGAGCAGCGAACGGGUGAGUAACGCGUGGGGAAUCUGCCUUUGAGCGGGGGACAACAUUUGGAAACGAAUGCUAAUACCGCAUAACAACUUUAAACAUAAGUUUUAAGUUUGAAAGAUGCAAUUGCAUCACUCAAAGAUGAUCCCGCGUUGUAUUAGCUAGUUGGUGAGGUAAAGGCUCACCAAGGCGAUGAUACAUAGCCGACCUGAGAGGGUGAUCGGCCACAUUGGGACUGAGACACGGCCCAAACUCCUACGGGAGGCAGCAGUAGGGAAUCUUCGGCAAUGGACGAAAGUCUGACCGAGCAACGCCGCGUGAGUGAAGAAGGUUUUCGGAUCGUAAAACUCUGUUGGUAGAGAAGAACGUUGGUGAGAGUGGAAAGCUCAUCAAGUGACGGUAACUACCCAGAAAGGGACGGCUAACUACGUG